GAUGAACGCUGGCGGCGUGCUUAACACAUGCAAGUCGAACGAUGAAGCCCAGCUUGCUGGGUGGAUUAGUGGCGAACGGGUGAGUAACACGUGAAUAACCUGCCCUUGACUCUGGGAUAAGCCUGGGAAACUGGGUCUAAUACUUGAUAUGACUUCUCAUCGCAUGGUGGGGGGUGGAAAGAUUGAUUGGUCUUGGAUGGACUCGCGGCCUAUCAGCUUGUUGGUGAGGUAAUGGCUCACCAAGGCGACGACGGGUAGCCGGCCUGGGAGGGUGACCGGCCACACUGGGACUGAGACACGGCCCAGACUCCUACGGGAGGCAGCAGUGGGGAAUAUUGCACAAUGGGCGCAAGCCUGAUGCAGCGACGCCGCGUGAGGGAUGACGGCCUUCGGGUUGUAAACCUCUUUCAGUAGGGAAGAAGCGAGAGUGACGGUACCUGCAGAAGAAGCGCCGGCUAACUACGUG
rnacentral:rRNA from 1 species